GUUUAUAGUCUAUUUUUUUGGGUUUAAGGUAUAUAAUUUGGGUUUAGGGUUUAGGGUCUAGGAUUAGAGUUUAAGGUUUACGGUUUGGAUUUAGGGUGUAGGACUUGGGUUUAGGGUAUAGAGUUUAGGUUUAUAGUCUAGUUUUUGGGUUUAGGGUAUAUAAUUUGGGUUUAGGAUCUAGGAUUAGGGUUUAGGGUAUAUGGUUUAGGUUUAGGGGUUUGGAUUUGGGUUUAGAAUUUAGGAUAUAAAGUUUAGAAUUUAAGAUUUAGGGUUUAUGGUUUAGCUAGAAAGGUUAGCGUCGUUAAAAUUAGCGUUUUUAUUUUUUGUAGCUAUUUUUUAUUUAAUUUAAUGUUUUUUAAUUAAUAUUCUAUGUGUUACUUUAAAGGGUGGGUUGAAU
rnacentral:lncRNA from 1 species